CCCCCGGUGCGUGGCCCCGUGCCCCCCACAAGAGAACAGUGCGAGUGCGUCCCACUGCCCGCCCGGAGGGUCGCCAACAGGGAUAACAGAACAUCUUUCUAUGAGAGGCUUGCAUAGCUGUUUAUCAUAUCCCUGAGGGCUUGGACUGGUUGCCAGCGAUAAAUCAAUGUGGCCACAUUUGCUGAGGGAGGAGUGGAACCGGCACAAACGCUUGCUGGGGACUGCAGCAGCGGGAUGGGUGCGGAAAGGCUCAAGCCCCGUAAGCUAGCUCUCUCUCUUGACACCCCGGGUCCUGGAGCAAGACUGUUAAUUGUCGCUGUUUGUAAUGCUGAUAAUAGUCGGGAAGUUUUCUGGAGGAGCUGUGGGGGCUUCAGACUGCUUGGUUUUCCCUCACUUGCUCCUGAGCUGGUGCGAAGAUGGUCAAACCGCCAAAUUAUUAUGGGUGUCGUUAGGAGAUGCUAUUAUGAGUUUCCCCUUAGAUAGACUAAGGUGAAACUUAGCAUUUACAACAUGCACCAGAGCUUAAAAGGGUGUGAAAUAAAGCUGGAGCCUGAGACGACCUCCUGACUGUGAAUAAACUUUUGGUAGAAAAUGAGACAAAACAGAAUUUCGCAAUGUAGUAUGAUUCCCUAAGAUGAGCAGAAAUCUCAGCCGUGUACUCAUUAAGGGAAAGAAAAAGAACAGAUCUGCCUGUUCUCUCGGGAACAAAUACGCUGUGGAAUUUGUCAUUAAAUCAAAAUAAACGUUACUAAGCUAUCUAUCAACUGAAACAUCAGUGAGAAACUUAACCAAAACUCUCCUCCUUUCUUUACUGCUUAAUGCUGCAGGAACAGAAGAUAAUGCAGUGUUUAAAGACAACACAAUAAGAGUGAAAACUCCUAA